UACGGGGGGAGCAAGCGUUGUUCGGAUUUACUGGGCGUAAAGGGCGCGUAGGCGGCCACCGCAAGUCGACUGUGUAAUCUCCGGGCUUAACUCGGAAAGGUCAGCCGAUACUGCGGGGCUAGAGUGCAGAAGGGGCAACUGGAAUUCUCGGUGUAGCGGUGAAAUGCGCAGAUAUCGGGAGGAACACCAAUGGCGAAGGCAGCUCGCUGGGACGUUACUGACGCUGAGACGCGAAAGCGUGGGGAGCAAACAGG
rnacentral:rRNA from 1 species